GUGAAUCAUCAAAUCUUUGAACGCAAAUUGCGCUCUCUUCGGAGAGUAUGCCUGCUCGAGGGUCAGUAUUAAUAAAAAUCGGCGUGUUGCUCUUGUGUGACGUCUCGGAGUUUGGGUCAUCUUAUAACAACACCCUUUCAGGGUAUUUUUAAGAGGCGUAAAAUUGACCUUUUUUUUGCAUUUUAGACGUACCUACAUUUUUUUAUAUUCGUCUAUCUUAAUGCCAAAUCCCUAUUUGAUGCUACCAUACCGUGUG
rnacentral:misc_RNA from 1 species